ACAGAAAUCACCUGGGGAUCUUGUUAAAAUGCAGGCUCUAAUUCAGGAGGUCUGGAUGGGGCCCGAGAGUCUGCAUUUCUAACAAGUUCCCCAGUGAUGCUGUU
rnacentral:pre_miRNA from 1 species